GCACUGUAUUAGGUUAUUUUGUUUUAGAUUCAAUUGUUCUUUUUCUAUCAAGUUACUUUUUUCCACAGAAAUCACAAAUAGUUUUAAUCUGUUAUACUCUGAUUUAAUUUUUUUAUGCACACACGAAGGGUUUUUUAAAAAAGUGUGCGCCCCGCCAAAGGUUUGUUACAAAAAACUUUGCGCCCCGCUCAUUAAUUGCAUGAAAAAAGUAUGUGCCCCGUCCAUGUUUGCACCGGUCCCACCCUCAGAUAAAUAUUGCACAGUCCCUAAC
rnacentral:lncRNA from 1 species